rnacentral:rRNA from 1 species
UGGGGAAUUUUGGACAAUGGGCGCAAGCCUGAUCCAGCAAUGCCGCGUGCAGGAUGAAGGCCUUCGGGUUGUAAACUGCUUUUGUACGGAACGAAAAGCCUCUCUCUAAUACAGGGGGGUGAUGACGGUACCGUAAGAAUAAGCACCGGCUAACUACGUGCCAGCAGCCGCGGUAAUACGUAGGGUGCAAGCGUUAAUCGGAAUUACUGGGCGUAAAGCGUGCGCAGGCGGUUUUGUAAGACAGUGGUGAAAUCCCCGGGCUCAACCUGGGAACUGCCAUUGUGACUGCAAGGCUGGAGUGCGGCAGAGGGGGGAUGGAAUUCCGCGUGUAGCAGUGAAAUGCGUAGAUAUGCGGAGGAACACCGAUGGCGAAGGCAAUCCCCUGGGCCUGCANUGACGCUCAUGCACGAAAGCGUGGGGAGCAAACAGGAUUAGAUACCCUGGUAGUCCACGCCCUAAACGAUGUCAACUGGUUGUUGGGGAUUUAUUUCUUCAGUAACGAAGCUAACGCGUGAAGUUGACCGCCUGGGGGAGUACGGCCGCAAGGUUAAAAACUC